rnacentral:rRNA from 1 species
AAGUCUCAAGUGAAGCAAG